rnacentral:rRNA from 1 species
UUCUAUUAGCUUGUUGGUGAGGUAACGGCUCACCAAGGCGACGAUGGGUACCGGGUGUGAGAGCAUGACCCGGCUCACUGGGACUGAGACACUGCCCAGACACCUACGGGUAGCUGCAGUCGAGAAUCUUCGGCAAUGGACGCAAGUCCGACCGAGCGACGCCGCGUGCGGGAUGAAGGCCUUCGGGUUGUAAACCGCUGUCAGAGGGGAGGAAAUCCUGUGGGGUUCUCUCCACAGGUUGACCUAUCCUCAGAGGAAGUACGGGCUAAGUUCGUGCCAGCAGCCGCGGUAAGACGAACCGUACAAACGUUAUUCGGAAUCACUGGGCUUAAAGGGCGCGUAGGCGGCCCUGCAAGUUGGGUGUGAAGGCCCUCGGCUCAACCGAGGAAUUGCGCCCAAAACUGCGGGGCUUGAGGGAGACAGAGGUGAGCGGAACUUAGGGUGGAGCGGUGAAAUGCGUUGAUAUCCUGAGGAACACCUGUAGCGAAAGCGGCUCACUGGGUCUCUUCUGACGCUGAGGCACGAAAGCUAGGGGAGCGAACGGGAUUAGAUACCCCGGUAGUCCUAGCUGUAAGCGUUGAGCACUUGGUCGGAGAGUCCUCCAUAGCUUUCCGGUCGCAGCGAAAGUGAUAAGUGCUCCGCCUGGGGAGUAUGAUCGCAAGGCUGAAACUCAAAGGAAUUGACGGGGGCUCACACAAGCGGUGGAGGAUGUGGCUUAAUUCGAGGCUACGCGUAGAACCUUAUCCUGGGCUUGACAUGCACGGAUUAACCUCGUGAAAGCGAGGCGACGCCUUCGGGUGGAACGUGCACAGGUGCUGCAUGGCUGUCGUCAGCUCGUGUCGUGAGAUGUCGGGUUAAGUCCCUUAACGAGCGAAACCCUUGUCACUAGUUGCCAGCGGGUAAUGCCGGGGACUCUAGUGAGACUGCCGGUGUUAAACCGGAGGAAGGUGGGGAUGACGUCAAGUCCUCAUGGCCUUUAUGUCCAGGGCUGCACACGUCCUACAAUGGCGCGUACAAAGGGAAGCGAACUCGCGAGAGCAAGCAAAUCCCACAAA